CCUACGGGAGGCAGCAGUGGGGAAUAUUGGACAAUGGGCGAAAGCCUGAUCCAGCAAUGCCGCGUGAGUGAUGAAGGCCUUCGUGUCGUAAAGCUCUUUUACCAGGGAUGAUAAUGACAGUACCUGGAGAAUAAGCUCCGGCUAACUCCGUGCCAGCAGCCGCGGUAAUACGGAGGGAGCUAGCGUUGUUCGGAAUUACUGGGCGUAAAGAGUACGUAGGCGGUUAUUCAAGUCAGAGGUGAAAGCCCGGGGCUCAACCCCGGAACUGCCUUUGAAACUAGAUAACUAGAGUCUUGGAGAGGUUAGUGGAAUUCCGAGUGUAGAGGUGAAAUUCGUAGAUAUUCGGAAGAACACCAGUGGCGAAGGCGACUAACUGGACAAGUACUGACGCUGAGGUACGAAAGCGUGGGGAGCAAACAGGAUUAGAUACCCUGGUAGUCCACGCCGUAAACGAUGAUAACUAGUUGUUCGGUCACUUGGUGACUGAGUGACGCAGCUAACGCAUUAAGUUAUCCGCCUGGGGAGUACGGUCGCAAGAUUAAAACUUAAAGGAAUUGACGG
rnacentral:rRNA from 1 species